AGGAGGAAUCAUAUUGGCCAUUUCAAGGAUGUUGAAGACAUGCUUCAUGCAACUGAAUCCUUACUAUAAGAUUAUAAAAUACAAACAAAUGACAGAAAAGGACUGCUUGUCUAGAGGGAUUCCCGUCACUUCACAGCUGCUCAGACCGCCGUUUCCUCCCUAAGGUGUUGCGAUGGCUGUAGGGCCGCAUCUUCAUUUCCACAAAGGGUGAAAUGGCAGGAAAGUCUUUGAAACGUGAAAACUUCAAAUGAACAAACUUCUAAAGUUCAGAUACAAAACCUCAG